UGCAGGCUCAACUCUGCCUGGCAGUGGCAAGGGCCAGGGCCAGUGACUGAAGCAACAAACUGCCAGAUGACUGCAGCUCAAGCCAAUGCACAAAGCCACUGCAACAAGAGAGGAAAUUCUUCCAUUUCCAAGUGUGUCGAUUUCUCCCCAUCAAGGAAAACAGCUAAGGCAAUGUGUUGAUAUUUUCUUUGACCAAGUCAUCAGGAGUCACAUAGACAUACAGCACUCAAGAAGUGGCUGUAACUAAAGGCACAUCUCGUUCAUCUACAACCCUUGUAAUCCCAACCUUUGUCUGAUGCACAAACCCUUCCCUAGUUCUCCCCACCACCACCAGUCACCUAUAAGCCAAACAGCCUGGCCUAACUCCAGGGUCAUUGACCACUUGUUUUCCCCAACUGCCACCAUAGCAACCAACUGUAUGGGCCCUGCCCAGAGACUACUGAAGCAACAGACUUUACAUUGGCACAUCCCAGUGGUUCCCCUCCCUUUCCCCAAGCCACACACAUCUCACCUCCCACCCCAAGAGGGCUGAGAUAGUGCCUAACUGUUGGGCUUCUAACAAAGUGUAGCCGUAAGUGCAGUGGAGUUAAUGUCCUUGGGGUAAAUCUAAUCAAAACAAGAUGGGUCCAGCAUAUAAACUCCUCUCCUUCCUCCACCCAGACAGAUUGUCCUGAAACACAGUAGUCCAUACUACCUCUCAAAAUAUGACCCUCAUGAUACUGACCAAUCACCCGGGCUUGAUACCAAGAGGUAGCUAGUUCGGUAAUACACUAUUUUAUUAUUAAUAGUUUCUCUUCCUUCUUUGCCCAGCCCGUUCGUCUUCACUCCAGUUUCUCUCAAACUACACUCAGGCUCUGUUUUCUACAGAAAAAACUCAACACCCCAGGAACAGAAUCAGUGCUUUUUCCUCCAAAUAGUUAUUUUGAAUGUAAUCAGCAUCAACCAGCCUCUCUUCUGCCAGCUCUUAUUAUUUCUAUUUUAUCCCCUGCCAAUCUGGAUGUGGGACAAGUGCAAGUUCCUCCAAAGAAACUACUGGUGUAAAAGUAUAAAUGGGAAACGUAGUUGUUUUUGAUGAUUUUGUAAGAAAAAUGGAGAAGACAUUUAUGUUGAACAUGGAAAACAUGUUUUAAAUCUCUUUAUAUUGGAGAUUAGUAAUGAUAUUAUUUGGAUGAUAGGAGAAAUUUGAAUAUGGACUGAAUAUUAGAUAUUGUAUUGUAUCAAGUUUAAGUUUCUGGGUGAAAUAACUAUGUUGUGGUCAUGUAGAGAACAGCCUUGUUCUUAGGAGACACAUGCUGAAGUAUUUGGUGGUGAAGUGUCGUGAUGCUUACAACCAAUUCUCAAACAGUUCAGAAAAUUAUACACAGGUGCACAUUUGUCUCUUUAUCUAUUUAUCUGCCUAUCUAUACAC
rnacentral:lncRNA from 1 species